rfam:Gossypium raimondii Chr10_contig_1423, whole genome shotgun sequence.
AGUUAAAUUCUUCAUUUCUUUCUACAGUUAAAAACAAGCAUUGCUGAUAGAAAACUGGAUAGUUACACAUGACGUGUCACGUAUAACCUCAUGCUGAUGUACAAUGACCAAUUUUUAUAGUAGAAAUAGAUGAAAUUUUCAACA